rnacentral:lncRNA from 1 species
GCAUGUUAAAAUUGUUGACAGAUGUUAUUCCUGUUUUUCAGCUGCAUAACUAUUCAUCAGUGGGAUGAAGAGAGAAGUUCACGUAAAUUGAUUAGAAUAUGGGCAUCUUCCUUCGUGUGGAAUUUCAGUGAAAACUUCAGCUUGAAUAUAUCUUUAUGUAAAAGAGCUUCUGACUGCAUAACUGUAUUUACUGGAAUCCAUAAAUCUCUACUAAACUACAGAGAAGAGGUUCCUGCAUUACAUGCUGCAGAUUACCAGGACAAUGCCUGUUCCCCCAGGAGUUUGCAAUCUUCAUGUAAUUUAUACAAACUUGUCCAUCCACGUUAAUCUAAACAAAUAGUUCUCAAUGGUGCUAGUGGUGGGAGUAAAGGGCUGCUCCCGGAAGACAUUCUUUGGCAAUGUCCGAAGACAUUUGUAACGACUGAGGGACUGAGUGCUCCUGGCAUGCCAAGUAGUGAAGAAAUGCUGCUAGAUAUUCUGCAAUGCACAGGAGAGCUCUGGGAUAACAUAAAGUAUUAUCCAGUCCCAAAUGAGAAACGCUGUUCUAAACUUUUGCUUGAAACAGGUUUUAUCCUUUACUUAGCACAAUUCUUUAUGUAUAAUAAAGGGAUUUGCUACUUUGUUCAUCAACUAACAGAGGUUCCGAACAGAUUGUAUACCAUUUCAUAAAUAUUUGUCAAAAGGAUUAAUAAAUAUUAAACUGGAUUAAAUUUAAUAAUGCAAUAUAAAGAAUAAUGAUG